rnacentral:rRNA from 1 species
GGGGGGGGGGGGGGGGGGGGGGGGCGGGGGGGGGGCGGGGGGGGGGGCGCGGCGUGGGGGGGGCGCGGGUGGCGAAGGGGUGGGUGACGCGUGGGUGGUCUGCCCUGCACUACGGGGUGCGCCGGGGAAGCUGGGUCUACUACCGGACAGUGGCCCGUUGUCGUGUGGUGGUUGGACAGUUUUUUCGGUGUAGGAUGAGCUCGCGGCCUAUCAGCUUGUUGGGGGGGUAAUGGCCUACCACGGCGGCGACGGGUAGCCGGCCGGAGAGGGUGGACGGCCACAUUGGGACUGAGAUACGGCCCGGACUCCUACGGGAGGCAGCAGUGGGGAAUACUGCACAAUGGGCGCAAGCCUGAUGCAGCGACGCCGCGGGGGGGAUGACGGCCUUCGGGUUGUAAACUCAUUUCGCUAGGGACGAAGCUUUUUGUGACGGUACCUAGAGAAGAAGCACCGGCUAACUACGUG